AUACGUAGGGUGCGAGCGUUGUCCGGAUUUAUUGGGCGUAAAGAGCUUGUAGGCGGUUGGUUGCGUCGAAAGUGCAAACUCAGGGCUUAACUCUGAGCCUGCUUUCGAUACGGGCUGACUGAGGAAGGUAGGGGAGAAUGGAAUUCCCGGUGGAGCGGUGGAAUGCGCAGAUAUCGGGAGGAACACCAGUGGCGAAGGCGGUUCUCUGGACCUUUCCUGACGCUGAGAAGCGAAAGCGUGGGGAGCAAACAGGCUUAGAUACCCUGGUAGUCCACGCUGUAAACGGUGGGUACUAGGUGUGGGGGACAUUCCACGUUCUCUGUGCCGUAGCUAACGCAUUAAGUACCCCGCCUGGGGAGUACGGCCGCAAGGCUAAA
rnacentral:rRNA from 1 species